ACCCGCGCCCCCUGCUAUGCCCGCUGCAGGGGACCACUGUCCCUGGCCCCCUGGUGCGUGCUCCGCGCUCGCGCCCUUGGGCCCCCGCGCGCGUGCACACGUGGUGGUGGCUUUUAUUUCUUCGCACGUGUUCGUGGUCUUCCUUCUGGAGCCUCUCCCCUCCCCCAGCCCCACUUCUCUCAUCUCUACAGCUUGAACCUUUUCCCCGAGGGCACCCAAUGAACUGCCCGGGAGCUUCAGGCUCCCGGGGCGAGAGCCAGGCGGACGCGGGACUUAGGCUGCGCGGAUAAUUGGGAGCAAUUAGGUCCCAAGAUACGUAAACUUCAACCGAACGGGGCGCCCGGGAGCUAGGGAAUGCAAAGGGAGGACAGGCGCCCGUGUGAGGCUUGAGAGUAUACUGGAGAGGUUAGGAGGUGAUGGCGGGGUAGGACGGGGAGAAGUGAGGGGGCACCGAGGGCUAGGUCCUCAGUCCUAGGGGCGGAGUAGGGGAAGCUGCUACUUGGAGAGAGCUGCUAGGUUUUAAGUGCGCCCGGAAACACGCCUCGCCACCACCCAGCCACCACCAACGGAAAAUCUGUCAGUGCAUGUAGCCCUUCCUGCCACGGAGAAGGUGGCCAAGGUCUAGAGGAGGCCAGCAGGCCAGGCGAAGCAACGCUCCCGCGCUGCAGGGGGCGGGGAGGCAGCGGGGAACCUGGGGCGCAGGAACGCGGGCAGAGGUGCGAUAGCAGAAGCGCAAAUGGGUCGCCUCUGACAGAGAUCGGGCAGUGGGUUAAGUCCCUGUUUGUGGCGCGGAGUCAGUGUGUGUGUGUGUGUGUGUGUGUGUGUGUGUGUGUGUGUGUGUGUGUGUGUGUGUGUGUGUGUAGUAAGCCUUCUCCAUCUAGCAGAGAAUGCUUAAUGAGAAAAUGAUUGGAAGCAAAUGUUUAUUUUUCCCUUAGGCAUUUAAAACCUUUCAGUGGCUUUAAAGUUUACUACUGUUUUUCCCACAAAGUCCAUUCAUUCAGUCUCCUAUUAGAGUUACGUUUAUCUGGGCAUUUUAAGGUUGUUUUUAUAAUGUUACCUCGUGUCUAAUUCUUUUUUUCUUCCUCUUCUUUUGCUUCCUCUUUUUUUAGUAUUAUUAUUUCUGCUUCUUUUUUGUUAAGAUGAAAUAUAAAGACAUCAACCUUAGAAAACCAGUAGAGAAAGUUGCAGAUACUCGCUGAUACAUUCCUUGUUUCCUAGUAAAAUAAGUUUUGAGCACACGGACUAGGUUUCUUUUAGAAAUAAGUUGUGUCAUCCAUACAUAGCUCUCUCCUGGGAUGUAGAAUUAGCAUCAACACCAGAAACGUGUUUUGAAAUAACAUGGAAGAAGGGCUGGUUUUGUGACUAGGUGAACCUGGAAUUCAACCACAUAGGAGUCAGGAAAUUGGUGGAGUCUACAAUCUGUGGGGCUCUGGUGUCUGGAAAAUUUUACAGUCCCAGAUUGAUGUGAACAUGUAGCAUUAGGCAGAAUAUUCCAGCCAACUUUCCGUUUUACAAUGCACACAAGGAGAACGGUUGUGUUGCAUCAUUAUUACAUCAAAAAGUAUAACUUUAAUGUAAAAUUCACAUUUAUUUAAAUGUGGUUAGGAUAAUGAUAGAGAAAUGCAACUGACACUUUUCUCAUUAAUCUCCUCUGACCUGAUAUGUAAUUAAACAUAUUACUUAAUAAGCCUGGUAGAUUAUUUUGACCUGUCAGAAUAUACUAAAAUAAUUUAGCAAUUAUAAUGCUCAAUUUGGUAGCAAAUAUAUAUACUGUAUAGGUUAUGAUUUUUUCUUUACAACAGUAUGCUCAAAACAUUUCUAACCUUUCUUUUUUUAUAUAUUAUGCAUUGUAUAUUCAGAGAGAGUUAAAGAAAGCCUUGGUUGGUGCACAUACUUUGCAUCUCCUAACUUGUUCUUGAACAUGAAUGAGAACUUGCAACGCAACAUUUUCUUUUCCAUGUGUUGGUGUUAAUAGGUUUGUAUGGGCUUACAGAAUUUUAAAACAUUAAUAAAUGAUUUUUCCAAAGGUUCAAGGUUGGAUACUUCUCUGUCUAUCAAGCUUUAUCAGUCUAGCAGUAUCUUUAGUAGUAGACAGGAAAUAAAUUGUGUACUUAAUAGAUGUAGCAAAUGUGAAGUUUUGAUUAUACAUUUUAGAGUCUGAAACUGCAAUGCCUCAGCAAUUAGAUAGGGGUGCUGUAUCCACAUUAGCACAAAGAGGGAAUGGAUAGUAUCAUCUUUUGGGAGGAUUGUGCACAACUAAGCAGACCCUGAGGAAAGAGGCCAUCUUUGGCAGUUGCUGCUUGUGAUUUUAAAUGAGCUUUAGAAUAGCCAGACUUUACACAUUACAUUCAUUUAUCGAAGUUGCUUUAUGCUGUAAGUUUAACUAGACCCCAAUAAAAUAAUUUCGAGAGAGGUGUAACUAACUAAUUCCCUGCCAGCUUGGGAAUCCCCAAAUCUUAUUUUAAUAACAGUAUUUGUAGCAUAUUAAGGUUCUUGCCAAGAACAAGUGCACCGUGAUUAAUGAGGUACUUCAGGGGUGAAUUUACUUGGUCGACCAGUGUUUUCACUGCCAAGAAACAAGAAAAGCAUGUUUAAAGUUAUGCUUGAGGUAAAUAUAAAUUUCUAUUAUUUAUGCAAAAAUAAUUAUUAUAAUGGUAUUUUAGGGUUAUAAAAUGUCUUUUCAAGAGUACAUAUCCUAGCCUAUUGAUAGGAUGGCUGGACAGAGCAAGGGAUGACCUACUUCAAAUAUUUUCCCUUAAACUUUAUAAAUUAGUGGAGAUUAGGAGAUCCUUGCCCUUACUAUUCUUUAGGAUUUACCUGACAGCCAUAUUUCCUAUCUUCAACUUUUCUUCAUUUUAUUAGUGUGCUAUUCAAACAUGAGGUGGCUCAUUUCCCUGAAUGUUGUUUGUCCCUUUUUAAUUCCUCCUUUUUUAAGGAAAAUUUUGAAGAAUAAUGAGGGUAGUAGAGGAACACAGGAUGGGGAUUCAUAUAUAAAUUUGCGUUGAUGCAGCAAAUGUGGUUCUGAGAAGUUACAUGGGAAAUGGUGUUGCAGAUACAUGUAAUUGAUCACUUUGCCUAAUGUAUCUGCCUGACUUAAUGCUAUGGAUGUGAAUUUAUAGAUAUUAAACAAGGAGACAAGAAGAAGUCACUCAAGCUAGGAGCUCUGAAGUCAUCCUUUUUCUCAUACUUACUCCUUCUGGUCAGGCAAAAGGUCAUUAACUAUUGUUUGUUUACUUUAUAGGUAUUUUUCAAAUACAUUCCCUUUUCUUCUUUACCACUUCUAUUCCAUUCUGUUUCUUACCUCUCCAUUAGAUGAUUUGUAAUAUUCUCCUGCCUGAUCAUCUGGUUUCUGUUCUCAGCCUUCUCUCUGCUCUAACAUCAUAGUAUUGUUCAUAAAAUGCAAAUCUUAUCAUAUCAUCCCCUUGCCUAAAAUAUUUCCAUGAUUCUCAUCAUCUACUCCUUCAUCUAUUUAUCCAUCUACAAUUAUUGGAGUGUGUAAUAUGUGCUAAUUCCCAAAUUAACAAGGCAAAGGCCUCCACUCUGGAGGAAGGAAAAGACGCCAGCAAGGGACUACUACAAGCCUGUGAACAAGUGUGAAACAAUGUUAUUGGUGUGCUUAGAGAGUGAGGUUACAAAGUGACAUGAGAAAAGAAAAAGAAGUGAAGCCUGGGCAGAAAAGUCAGCACAGGCUUCAAAGGGGAAGUGAGGUGUAAGCUGAGUUUCCACAAAUGAGUAGUUAAUUUUCAGGUGGGCACAGCAGGAGGGAAUGAACAAUCUUGACAGAGAAAACAGCUUGAGUAAAGAUAUGGAGUUGUGAAUCAGCACAGUAAUUCUAGGUACUGUUAAGUAUUUUCAGGGUGAGGAAAGCCACAAGAAAGGGUGGUAGAGCAAAAGGCAAAUCACCAAUCUGUUGGAUAGCUUCAGAUGCUGACCAUAGAAUCUUGUAUUUAUCCUGUAGGCAGUAGUGGUCAUUGAAUGGUGAUAAUCAGGGGAAUGAUAUAAUCAGAUAUAAAUUUUGGAAAGAUCUGCCUUUCAUUAGUUCAGCAAAUAAAUUGGAGUGCAAAAUGGAGUCAAUAUGGCCUAUAAGGAGAUGAUACCAAUUGUGAGAAUUUUCCAUUCAUUGUUGCAUUCAUUUAUUCAUAAACUUAUUCUGUGAAAUGUCUGUUGACUAUCGACUAUAUGCUGUGGAUCAUACUAGAAAGGUGAGAGAUGAUUGCCUAAGGAACUAAGGCAGUAACUGUGGAGAUGAGAAGGAGGAGUUUAACCAAAGAAAUGUUAAGGAGAUAAAAUUUGCAGAUUGUUUUCACCAGUCUGACAUGUGGUAUGAGGAAGAUGAUUCUGACUUGGUUAAUUUGAGGAAUGGAAGUGCCAUUCACUAAUAUAUGGGACAAAGAGUGAAGGGCAUAUAUUCUGGUGAAUAUAAUGGGUUCGGAUUUGAACAUGUUGGGCUUUUUGAGUCAUUCAGGUGGAGAUUUUAAGUGGUGGGAACAUAGCAGUGAACAAGGCACAGUCUAUUUCCAACCACGUUAGAUCAGCAACCAGAACUGUUUCUGGCACAUAGAUAACACUCAAUAAAAUAUUUUUGAGUGAAUGGAAUCAUUUACAAAUCUGGAGUUUAAUCUAAAUGUGUAACCAGAUAUUUAGCUUUGAAAGCCUCUGUCAGUUUUGUGGUAAUUAAAGCAAUAAGUAGAAAAAAUGAGAUAGUCCAAAGAAUAUAUAGAGUGAGUGAGGGCAUAGUGGAGGCCAGAGACUGGGGAACACCAACACCAAGCAGUGGAUGAAAAAGUAAGAGCCAAUGGAAGAACCUGGGAAAAGCUUUACAGCAACCCAAAGGCCAAGGGAAAACCCGGGAGAUCUUAUUUUCAUGAAAGCAAAGGAAGAUGCAUAUGGAAAAAAGGUUAUGGCCAGCAGUUUCCAAUGCUGCAGAAAGGACUAGAAAAGUUAGGUAAGAUUUCAUCGGAUUUCUUAUGAAGGAGGCCACUGGUGGCCUUUGCUGCUGCAGCUUCAGUGGAGUGCUAAGGGUCAUAAAUAUGAUUCCUCAGUGGACUGAGGAGUGGUUAAGACUUGGGAAAAUGGACACAGUAGUGUAGGUUAGACUCCAGAUUCCUUGGAAGAGUUCACACAAGACCCUCAGGGCAUAGACUACUAUAUAGCUACUCCCGUCUAAUAUGCACUCUAAGCCCCACCCUUACUGCACUGCUCCACCCUGUGUCUCACCACCAUGUGUUUGCUCAUGCUGUUUUCUUGGCUUCUCCCCAUAUCUUGCACCCUUGCUAUUAAACUCCUAAUGUUUCUUCAAAGUACAGUUUAAAGAUCACUUCCUCUUGGGCAUAUUUCCAAACAGUUCCCUUCCUUCUGCCAGGAUGAGUUAGGUGCCCCUUGUUUCAGGUUCCAUGGCACUCUACCAAUGUCAUUAUAAUGGUGCUUCCCCCAUUGUACUGUCAUCGUGGGCUACUUGCUCUGUCUCUCCCACAUGGAGAGCAAGCUUCCAUACAGUGAAAUUUCUACUUAUUUCUAAAUAUUAAGUGCCUAACAAGGUGCCUUGUGUCUAGUAGACCCUCCGUAAAUGCAUGCUUAAUUGAGUAAGUAAAUAAUUUUCCUUAUAAGCCUUCCACAGAGGAGCUUCAGGGUGAGCCGAAGCUGAAAGAACUACCAAGUCUUUUCAGUUUUCUUAGACGUAAGAUACUGACGAUUCAUUUAAAAGAAAAAAGAUAUGGGACUAGAAGUAGGAGAUUAGUGCUUUGCUUGUAGCUUUGCCACUAAUUAAUUCUGUAAGUCAUUUCACACUUCUGGGUCUCCAAAUCUUCAUCUGUGAUAUGGGCACAAUCGUGUAUGUGAUCCGAGAUGGUGGAGGAUACUGUAGAGAGUCUAAAAUGCUAUCAUUAAAGAGAAAGAGUAUUUGGAAUAAGAAGCAAUCUGAUCCUUUUAUCAUUUCCUUUCCUCUUCUCUGAGCUUGAGGGUUGCCUCUUAACUAGUUGCUUUAACUUAAUUCCUAAAUCCCCAAGAUCUCUGUGCUACAUAGUAGCCAAAGUUAUCUUUCUUUCUUUCUUUUUGUUUGUUUGAGAUGGAGCCUCACUCCGUUGCCCAGGCUGGAGUGUAGUGGUGUGAUCUCAGCUCACUCCAACCUCAGCUUCCCAAGUUCAAGCAAUUUUGCUGCCUCAGCCUCCUGAGUAGCUGGGAUUACAGACGUGCGCCACCAUACCUGGCUAAUUGUUUUUGUAUUUUUAGUAGAGAUGGGGUUUCGCUAUGUUGGCCAGGCUGGUCUCAUUCUCCUGACCUCAAGUGGUCUGCCCACCUCAGCCUCCCAAAGUGCUGGGAUUACAGGCAUGAGCCACCACACCUGGCCCAAAGUGAUCUUCCUAAAGACUUAACAGAACACAUCACUCCUCCUCUGCUUGGAGGAGGAUCUGUUUAUUGCUUGUCUCUCCCCUGAACCCCAAUUCUUUAAAGGCAGGGGUUUCUGUCUUAUUCAUUAUUAUAUCACCAGCACCCAGAACACUGCCUGUCACAUAAAAGAUGCUCCAUGCAUACAUACUGAUUCAUUUACUGACACCCCAGAUCUCCAAAAUACACUAUUAGUUCCCUUGUGGCAGAUGGAAUUUUACUCUGUUGGCCAUUCUGUGUGUCAGACUCAAUUAGACCUAAUGAAUUACUUUACUACCUACAUAUAUAUUCUAUUCUGAAUUAAGUUUAUGUCUGUAGAGACUGAUGUUUACAUAUUCUUUUUGCUCCUGCAUUCCUUUAAAAAAUCACUGAUUUCUCUUAAGUCUACAGAGGCCUUGUAGAAGUUAUACUGCUUUAUACUGUGCUGAUAUAUAAAAUGUUUCAUACUCUUCUAAUCAGUCUUUAGAAAUCUAAACAAUGCUAUUGUACUUGAAGACCAUAUUACAAUUAGAAAUGUUGAAAAGUGUUACAAUAUUAGUACUGGGAAUAUGAUAGCCUAAAAGGAAAGAAAUGAAAAGGGUAUUUCAAAAUGAAAUGAAGGACAGAUACAAAAAAACACUAUAAACAAGAAAGAUAGCCAGCAGCCUUCUGAAAAUUGCUUGCAAAGAAGUAGCGCCAGUUUUAAUUUUUAAUUGCAAAUGGCUAUUUUGGCAGAUGAAAAUGCCAGCAGAGCAUGUUUUAUCCUAGCCCAAUGGUGUGAAACUACUUGAAGCCCAAUUGUUGAACAGUCACAGCUCAUAGUUAUGUUUAAUAUGUAUGUGUUUUCGUUUUAAUUUCCUUUUUCUUCAGCCAUUUAUGAGUGCGUUAUUUGAAGUUUUAUUUGGUUGCAACCUGGGAGAAAGAUUGGCCACACAUCUGCACUUUUUUUCGUAAUUAAAGAAAUUCUUUGAUGGUCUCAGAGUUUCAGGUGAUCUUUUAAUCCUUUGCAAUCAGUGUGUCUGAAGAAUGAGCUUCCCAAAUGUUAUUAAAGUCAUCAAUUUCUAAACUUAAAAAUAGCUUGAAGUUUUUCAUCAUAUACAUUUGUGUAUUGUGCAUAUAUAUUUCAUACUCAUACAAAUACACAUGCAACAUGAGCACAUACAUACUGUUAUCUUUUAGGAGAGAAUUUGUGUUAGUGUAAAUAUUUCUAUUUCCCUUUGUUUUGAUCCUCUAAAAGUAAAAAACACUUGAAUAAAAUGCAAUUUAGAAAUAAAAAGAACAUUAAAUUUACUCUUGAUAAUAUAGAGCUUAUCUCUUAAUUUGAAAGAUAAUUAAAUUUUUACAUGAUGAAGAGAUAUACACCUUUUACAAACUCAGUCAUAGUGGUCAUUUUUCUCAUUUAUUGUACCUGUGAGGUAAUUCUAGAAUCCCUAUUCCUUCUUCAGUCAGUGGCUGGAUAAUCUAAUUAUAAUGUUAUAAUCCAUCAUUUCUCUUUUUGAACAGUCAAUUUAGUUUAACAUUUGCUUAACAGCCAUUAUGUAUGCCAGGUAAUGUGCUAGAUGCUGGUGGUUCAAAGAAAGGAAUGAUGUAGACCUGACCUCAAAGAAAUCCAUUGGAGAAUAUGACAGAUUUAGAUUUAAUGAUCAACUUUACUUUUCCUAUACAUGUACCUGUUUCUUAAUCUAUAAAAUAUCAGUACCAGUUUCUUAAUCUAUAAAAUAGAAAUAAAAUAUUACUUCAAGGUGUUAUAUGUAUAGUAUAUGUGUACAUAAUGUUUAAUAUAUACAUAUUAACAGUUAGCAUGGUGGCUCUCACUGAAACUAGAGGGAAAAAUAGAGACAAUGUGGUAGAAGGCUGUAUUUAUGUGAUAAAGGUCUAGGAUUUUAUCCUCUAUGUGAUGGGCAAUCUUUGAGGAAGAUAGGAUUUAGGCAAAUAAUAAUGUCAUUGGAUUUCCAUUUUAGAUUGGUGAUUCUACUAGCUCUAUCAGUGAUGGCUUGAGGGAGACAAAACUGGAGGUAGAGGAUAAAUUUUAAAACUGUUGUUCCAACUUAAGCAGAGAUAAUUAGGACUUAGACUGGGGCAGUGGUAGGAAGGAUGGGGGAAAGGUAUGACAAUAGAGUUGAAAUGUAUUAGUGAAUGAUUGAAUGUGGAAGAUUAAGAGAUACAGAUUUGUUAUUUCCAGAUUAUUGGAUUGGGUGCUUGGGUAAAUAGUGGUGCUAUUAACUGAAAUCAAUAGAGGUGGAACAACAGGUUGGCGAAUUGCAGGGGUGAUAAAAUGAGUUUAGCUUUGGAAAUGCUGAGCUUUUGGUGCCUGUGGGAAUUCCAACUAUAAAUGUACAGCAGCUCUUGGAUGAUGAUUUAAAAGAUAAAAUACAGACAGGGGUUAUAAUCACGAGGAAGGCAAAUAAAGAUAAAGGGUAGGAGGUCAAGGAUGGAAAUCUGGAGAAUACCAACAUUUAAUUGAUAAGCAAAGGAAACAAGGAAUGAAAUGGAGUAGACAGGAGGCUAUAAGGAAACACUAGACAAAAAGAUGGUCAGGGUUGUGGAAACAAAGGGUAUUGAGAGAGUUUCAAAAAAAAUAAAAGUAACCAAUUCUGAAAUGUAGAGAGUGGUUUAGUAAGAUAAAGAUCCAUCAGAAAUUACCAUUGGAUCUGGCAAUGUGGAAUUCUUCAGUGAUUUUAUAAACUCAUCAGUGUUAACCUUCAGUGAAGCAGUGAGGGCAGAGGCAGAUUGCUGUUAGCUGAGAAAUGAAUCAGAAGUGAGGAGAGGAAACAGCAUAUUUAGGCCAUAUGUUCACUUAGUUUGGCAAGAAUAAAAGGGAGAUUGGACACUAGCUACAAGGAAAUACAAGGCUAAAAGGAAAAUCAAGAGAGAAUAAAGUUAUAGAGAAGAAGUUUUUUUAUCACAAAUAAUAGUCGUUUUAAUGAUUAUGUGCUGGACAUUGUUCUAAAUUCUUUAUGCACAUUAAUUCUUUUAUUCCUCUGAAUAACCCUAAUAAGUAAUAUUAGUGUUAUCAUCUUCCUUUCAGCAAACCAGAAUACCAAAGUAGGGGGAGGUUUAGUAACCUGUCCAAAGUCAGCUUCUGAGUUAAUGGCAGAACAGGGCUUUGAACCAAGGCAGGUUGGCUGAGAGCCACACAUGCUUAGCCACUAUAUUUUAUUUCCUUUACUUUGCCUGUUAGAUUUUUAGAUUUUUUCUUUCUUUCUUUCUUUUUUUUUUUUUUUUUUUUUUUUUUGAGACGGAGUCUCACUCUAUCGCCCAGGCUGGAGUUCGGUGGCGCGAUCCCCGCUCACUGCAAGCUCCGCCUCCUGAGUUCACACCAUUCUCCAGCCUCAACCUCCCAAGUAGCAGGGACUACAGGCGCCCGCGACCACCCCUGGCUAAUUUUGUUUUUGUAUUUUUAGUAGAGACGGGGUUUCACCGUGUUAGCCAGGAUGGUCUCCAUCUCCUGACCUCGUGAUCCACCCGCCUCAGCCUCCCAAAGUGCUGGGAUUACAGGCGUGAGCCACCGCGCCUGGCCAGUUUUUUUUCUUUUUUAAAAAAAUCAACUUUUAUUUUAGAGACGGGGGUACUUGUGCAGGUUUGUUACAUGGGUAUAUUACAUCCAGGUAGUGAGCAUAGUACCCAAUAGUUAGUUUUUCAACCCAUGGCUCUUCUCUUCCUCCCGCUUCUAGUAGUCCCAAGUGUAUAUUGUUCCCAUGUUUACAUGUUUAUGUGCUUAGUAUUUAUCUCACACUUCUAAGUGAGAAUAUGUGGUACUUGGUUUUCUUUUCUUACAUUAAUUCACUUAGAAUUAUCGCUUCCAGCUACAUCCAUGUUGUGGCAAAGGACAUGAUUUCAUUCUUUUUUAUGGCUGCAUAGAAUUCUAUGGUGUAUAUGUACCAUUUUUUUUUUAUCCAAACCACCAUUGAUGGGCACCUAGGUUGAUUCCAUGUCCUUGCUAUUGUGAGUAGCAUGGCAAUGAACAUAUGAGUGUGUGUGUCUUUUUGGUAUGAUGGUCUAUUUCCUUUGGGUAUAUACCCAGUAAUGGGAUUGCUGGGUGAAAUGGUAGUUCUGUUUUAAUUUAUUUGAGAAAUCUCCAAAUUGCUUUCCACAGUGACUCAACUAAUUUACAUUCCCACUAACAGUGUUUAGGUGGUCCCUUUUCUCUGCAGUCUCACCAGCAUCUGUUGUUUUUUGGCUUUUUAAUAAUAAUCAUUCUGAUGGUAUGAGAUGGUAUCUCAUUGUGGUUUUGAUUUGAACUUCUCUGAGGAUUAGUGAUGAUGAGCAUUUUUUCAUAUGCUUGGGGGCCACUCGUAUGUCUUCUUUUGAGAAGUGUCUGUUCAUGUUCUUUGCCCACUUUUUAAUGGGGUUGUUUUUUGCUUGUUGAUUUGUUUAAGUUCAUAGACUUCGGAUAUUAGAGCUUUGUCAGAUGCAUAGAUUGUGAAUAUUUUCUCCCAUUUUGUAAGUUGUCUGUUUACAAAUCAGAGACGACACAAAUAAAUGGAAAAACAUUCCAUGCUCAUGGAUUGGAAGAAUCAAUAUUGUUAACAUGGCCACACUGCCCAAAGCAAUUUACAGAUUCAAUGUUAUUCCUGUCAAACUACAAUGCCAUUCUUCACAGAAUUAGAUAAAACUAUUCUAACAUUCAUAUGGAACCAAAAAAGAACCCGAAUAACUAAAGCAAUCCUAAGCAAAAAGAACAAAGCUGGAGGCAUCACUAUCUGACUUCAAACUAUAAGGCUAUACCAAACAAAACAGUGUGGUACUCAUACAAAAACAGACACAUAGACCAAUGGAACAGAAUAGAAAAUUCAGAAAUAAAGUGGCACACUUACGAUCUGAACUUCAAUAAGGCCAACAAAAACAAGUAAUGGGGAGAGGGCUCCCCAGUUCAAUAAAUGGUGCUGGGAUAACUGGCUAGCCAUAUGCAGAAGAAUUAAACUGGACCCCUACCUUUCACCAUAUACAAAAAUUAUCUCAAGAUGGAUUAAAGAUUUAAAUAUAAGACCUCAAACUAGAAAAAUCCUAGAAGAGAACCUAAGAAAUAGUUUUCUCAACAUCAGCCUUGGCAAAGAAUUUUUGACUAAGUCCCCAAAAGCAACUGAAGCAAAACCAAGAAUUGACAAGUGGGACCUAAUUAAACUAAAGAGCUUAGGCUGCUAUAAUCUUGAUUGUGGAUGGUACGUGUGGGCCCAGGGCUCCUCAUAUCAGAUGGGUAGAGUAAUUAUAAAAACUACUUUGGGGUCUAGUACAGCUCUCAGCAAUAUAGUGUAUGCACAAUAAAUGUUUGUUGAAUAAAUGAAUUACAGUUAAAAUGCCUUAUUACCUAGUAUCAAGGAACUACUUUUAACUUUGUAUUAAGCAUGUUUGUUUCUCUGCCUUCACAUUCUAACCAGCUUAAGUUCUAAUUUUUCUUUAAAUAUUUUUCUGACGUGCUGGCUUAUUUUCUUAUCAUUAUGCACCUCCCAUAGCCUUUAUUAUUUGGACUAUGUAUUUUAUUCCUUAAUUACAUUAUUACAUUGUAUUCUAAUUUGGUUUUUAUCUAAUUCUUUGCAAAUAGUUUGUGUAUGUAAAGAAACCAAAGUACCCUCUUUUUUUGUAUCCUAUAUAGGGCAUUAUGCCCAGGUUUUCAUUCUUUUGGUUUUGUUCGUUUGUUUGCUUUUGUUUGUUUGUAUGUUUUUGAGACAGAGAGUCACUCUGUUGCCCAGGCUGGAGUGCAGUGGUGCUAUUUCGGCUCACUGAAACCUCCGACUCCCAGGUUCAAGCAAUUCUCCUGCGUCAGCCUCCCGAGUAGCUGGGAUUAUAGGCUCCCGCCACCACGCCUGGCUAAUGUUUUUGUAUUUUUAGUAGAGAUGGGGUUUUGUUGUGUUGACCAGGCUGGUCUCGAACUCCUGACCUCAGGUGAUCCGCCUGCCUCGGCCUCCCAAAGUGCUGGGAUUACAGGCGUGAGCCACUGAACCCGGCCUUCAUUCUUUAUUUUUAAUCAAAAUUCACCUAGCUUAUUACCACUAGUGGAACUAUUUGAAUGUUUUAACUUUAUAUUUCCAAACAGGAAUUUCCUUAAAUUCUACUAGUUUGUAUUGCGUAGCAACUUAUAUUGAUUAUCUGAAUAAUAAUUUGUUCCCCUCACCCUUUUUUUUUUUUUUUUUUUUGAGACAUAGUCUCUGUCACCCAGGCUGGAGUGCAGUUGUACAAUCACAGCUCACUGCAGCCUCCAUCACCCACGCUCAAGCAAUUCUCCCACCUCAGCCUCUUGAGUAGCUGAGACCACAGGCACAGACCACCAUGCCCAGCUAAUUUUUUUUUAUUAUUUGUAGAGACAGGGUCUCACUAUGUUGCUCAGGCUGGUUUUGAACUCCUGGGCUCAAGCAAUCCUCCCGCCUUGGCCUCACAAAGUGCUGGGAUUAUAGGCAUGAGCUGCUGUGCUUGGCCCUGAAUAAUAAUUUCUUAAUGUAAUUUCGUAUAAACAUUAAAUUCCCAAUUUAUACAGUCAUCAUGGAAUACCUAAGAUUCACUACAAAAUAGCAUCAUUGCUUUGUUUAAGUCUCAUAAUGGCUGAAUAUAGAACAUGUUUACUCCAAACUGAUUUUUUAAUUUUUUUCUUCUCUUUAAAAUAAUAAAUACUCAUUUUCUUUACACUAGUGUGAAUACAUUUCAUUCAGCUUCCAUGCUUUUCUCUCUCCCCUUCCACAUUUACAUUUUCCCUGGAUGUUUCUUACUUUCCCUUUCCCCUUGGUCUCAUUGUAUUUUUCCUCCAGUUAAAUUGCUCCUAGUUUUGUUUUUUUUUUUUUUUUUUUUCCUUUCUCUCUGUGCUUCUACCUUUCUGGAAUGGUGUUUCUCCCCAUUUCUUUGUACAAAAUGUUGCUUUCUCUUCCUCUGAAAGCUGUCUGUUCUUAAGAGAUGCAUUGAAUUUCUAAUUACAUGCUCAAAGAGUGUACUGCCUAAGUAGACUGGGUACCUAAUUUACAUAUUGCUCUAUGGUAAUUAAUAGAGACUUCUAGAAAAUGUGGAUUUUAGAAAUAUAAGGGGAGAACCCUAUUUUUCUUGGGGUUUUAGUUAUGCUCAAAUUUCUUAGAAAAUAAGGAGUGAAGCCUUAAAAUUGCCGAAGUUUUCUAAUAUCUAUAUAUUAUUUCUGAAAUUUGGGAAUAGUCAGAUAUUCAGUGAAUAAUUUUAAAAGUUUUUACCUUCCGUUUUGGAAGUUGACUACUUUGAAAGUUGACUAUAUACUUUGGAAGUAUAUAGUUAAGAAAUAAAUUAGAAAUUAGUUUUUAUGCCAUGUGGAAUUAUUAUAUAAAAAUGCACAAUAAAGAAGUCCAAAUAUAUUUGUAACAUAGUUAAAUAUCAGUUAAAAAUAUUUACCCCAGUGGCUGUUAUAAUCAUUAGGAGUUUCUUUACUCAGUGAGCCAAGAAUAGAUCUAUAAUCUGGCAUCACAGAGCUGUACUUUUUCUGUUUUAUUGAGAGGUUAAAGCAUGGUCUCAAAAUGCAAAUGUAUCAUAGGAGUGCAUAGGAGAUAGAAAACCACCUGCAUUUUUUUCUGGUUGAAAAUGUUUCCAAAGCACAGACCUUGUGAAAGCGAUUCUCAUAACCUUUUCUAGAAUGAAAAACAAGUUUAAGGCUUCUAUUUCUCUAAACCUGUUUUCUCUCACACCUGAAUGAAUCUAGGAGGAUUGGAUGGAGUUGAGAAUUUAGAUUCUUCUCCCCAUGUUUUGAGUCACUGGCUACAUUUCUCAGCUUUCAUGUUUGUAAAAUUAAGAUAUAAUUCUUUAAUGUUUGUUUAAUAACCUGACCUCUUGCUAAGUGUAAGGCCCUAGAGUAGGAACUAUAGGGCUUAACAUAAAUAAGACAUAGCAUAUUCCCUCAAGAAAUUUUCAUCUAGAAGGAUAUUCAUUUACUGUUUACUGAGCCUCAAAAACCAUCUCUCUGAAUUGACUUAGGAUAAAAGCAAAGUUUGGCCUUUCUCCAGUGGCAUUUAGCUAUUGCUCCUUUUGAAGGGAUUUACAAGGUAAACUCCAGGAUCACCAUGUACAGAACUGCUGAUUGCCAGUUCUCUUGACCCCUUGGGAAACUUUGGAGCUCGGCGUUCAGCUGCCUGUGCAAGUGGGCGUUCUGCUCAGGGCAUUCCCACACUGAGACCAAACACAGGAGUUCCCACUCAUCAUAGUAAUUUCUAAACAGUAGUAAUUAAACUAGUUAAACUAAAUGUUCUAGUUAAUAAAACAUUCUGAGUAUGUUUAAUUUGCUCCAAAGUAUUUUAAAAAAUAAGAAAGAAACCAAUGCUGUUUCAUAAUACUUUGUUUGGAGAUGUUAUUUUUUUCUCCCUAAAUGGGUUAAGAACAACAGUAUAAACCAAAAAGUUGUGUUUUUUUUUAACAAAAUGAAGUGUCUGUUUAUUUUCAGUAUACACUUUAAGCUUCUAAUAUUGUUGACUUAAUUCUAUUACAUGAAAGGAAAAUAUUAUACCUAGCCUUCCAAGAACACAAUAUGCAGUGGACACUCAAAUAUUGAAUGAGUGAGUGCCCACUGCAUACUGUGUUAUUGGAACACUUUGGAAACACUUCUUCCAUUUGUUCGACUUUCUCCAGUCAUGUGGAAAAUGGCUUUUUUCUUCAACUAAGAGUGGUACUUCCCAGUGCAGCUAAGGUCAAAAAGUGUUAGAAAUGUGUGUUCAUUGCAAUGUCUAAGGUGCUUUUUAUCCAUCUUUUAAAGACUACUACUUCAAAUGGAUUUCAGACCUAGAUCAGCAGUCAGGUUAAAGAAUUGCAAAGUGAGAUUAAACUAGUUUUAAAUUUAUCAUGCCUGAUGAUAAAAUUCUAUAGUUCUGUUUUGGUAUGUCAAAUGGAAAAGGCAGAGAAAUUGAUUGGCAAUCCAAAUGACGUUUGGGAACUCACUUAGAACCUUCAAGAUAGGAUCCUGAACCCAAGGAGCACCUACUCUUACUCAUCUAGUCCGUGACAUAGAAGAAAUUACAGUUUGUUUUGGGGAAACAGUUUUAACAAGCUCGAACAUUCAAAUUUGCCUUCAAGUAUUUUUCUCUAGAAGAAACCCGGGUAAGUUCCCUUAGCUUCAGAUCCAUCAAGGAAUAAACAAAAUGAGAUGGGUUAGGAUCUUCCCAAACAAAGCAGCUACCCUAGUUAUGUAGGUCCUACUUUAGUUGUGCACUGAGAUCGUCCUGCAAUCCUUCCAAAGGUAGGACAGGAAGCAUAAUAGGAAAGAAAACUAUGUAGUCAUCAUAUUUGUGCCAAUCGUGUGGACUCCUAUACAGUAGUUCAGGCUACCAGUUUGGUUGGGCCAUGCUUCAGUAGCCCAUUAUUCCUUUCACUCAGUAGAAUGGCCCCAGUUAUUCCUCUGAAAUUGGAAGUUAGAGUUUCACAGUAUCUCUAGCAGGAAAGAUUCCCUUACAUGGUUCCAGAUCUUUUACAUCUAGUAUUGGACUUGAUGAGCUACUUUACAAUUACAUUUCCUAAACUAGUUGGGUCAUGCUGCUGAGAGCUGUUUUCCAGAGCUAGUGGGUAUGGAGUUUUCUUCCAGGCUUCAGGGCAGGAAGUGGAUAAUAAAAAUACAUUUAUAGAUGGCGCUAAGUGAGGUAGCCUAGACAACCAUAAAUAAGAAUAAUCAAACCAUCACGUUGUACUGGAGAAGACAGAAUAUUCCUCUAACUGAAGGGUAGCUAUCAUAAUUUAAAAUGGUCAUCAUGAAGGAUUGUACUUUUUUUCUCCAAAAAAGGUUAAAGGCAAAUACCUAUUUUUUUUUUUUUGGUUUCUUGUUGAUUCAAAUUCCCUUUCCACACUGCAAUCUUAGUAUAGAUUUCUGGAGCACGUGAUAAUAUAUUUAAAAGAGCUAUUCACAAUAAAUCUGUUAUGUUUUUGUACUUGUUUCAAGGGUGACAUGUAAAGUUAGUGGUUGCUCUACAGUAAGCAUCUGGUAGUGGAGCGGCAGUGCAGCAUGACAAGGACCUGGACUGCAGUGUCAGCCCUGGGAAUGUGCAGAAACGGAGAAUAGGAGAAAAUUCAAAGGGAGAACUGGAGUUCUUAGCUCUCUAUUGGCUUCUGGUUGGCAAAAGAGAUGGAAGAAUCAAAAUGUUCAUGGUUCCAAGCAAGUGUGACUGUGACCACGCAGAAGUUACUCAAUUCUGUUUUAGGUAAAGAACAAGCACAAGUAGACAUGUGGCCUGUUUGGGCUUUGGGAAAGACAGGGGAUCAUCAGUUACCAAUGUAGAGUGAUGGAGAAGAAAUAAGGUGCUUGGAGAAGAGUGUAUGGAAAAAGAUUUAGGGAAUACUGGCAUCUUGGGAAAUGAGAAAGAUUUGCAAAAGGGACAAAGAAGAGAAAAACUAGGAAAAUACAACAUCCACAGGAAGACUGUCUCUCAAAGGAUUGCAAUGGGAUAAAAGUAUUACAAAGAAAAGAAGUGAAAAUGUGUGAUGAUGUAGAAAGCCUGGAGAGAAGGCGAGGGGCCAGAACCUAGAAGAAAGCUUUGCCAUCUAGGAGUGGACAGCAUCUGCAGUGCCAUGUGUUAGGAGGACAUCCAAUUUCACAGGAAACAUGAUGUCCUGGAAAAAAAGGCCAGAACAACCCAGCAACUAGGUGGUGUGCAGACAUAGCAAUCAGUUUUUCAAAAGGGACCAUGCAGGGUGAGGGGUGUCCCUGAAAGUAUCACUGUAUAACUGGGAUGGGGACUCCAGAAGAGAGGGUGAUAUUUAGAGAGCCUCGAGUGAAACCAGGGAUAUCUGGUUGGAAAGCAAUCUUGCAGUCUCUAAGAGAGAUGCUGAUAAGUGCAAAGCAGUUCUAAAGAGCUUGAGAUAAUGCACCAAACGGUGCUUGCAGGGGAGAAGGGAGACAGAUUAGGGUGCAUAAUUGAUAAAUAAAUGGGUGAAGACAGAGGGAGAAUGGUAGAUUAGGAAUCAACAGAGUAAAGCUAAACUUUUAUUUCUCCAAGCAGCUGGAGGUCUGUACAAAUACAAAAGCCUCAGGAACCCCCUUCCCUGAGAAGGGGAAAAAUUAAAGUAAUUGAGAAUAACAAGAUCCUGGAGUUAUGGUAAAUAAAAGUUUAGGUUGGUUAAAAAAAAGUUUUGAAUGGCAACAUUGGGAGCUAUGAUAAGGCAACAUUGAGAGAUAAAUAACACGAUGUCUUGACAACUGCAAAGGCCCUGAUAGAGUUCAGGCAUGAUCACGUAGAAGGCUACCUGGUGUGUGAGAUUGUGAGAAUUUCUCUAACAGUAGUGUGCGGGGUAAAUUUUAAAAAGCAGAUGGAGCCCUAACCCAAGGCUGGCAACUUUGUAGCCAAAGUAAAGGGAAUGAGAAAUUUUCUAGAAGUCACACACACUGAACAUAUGUUACCUUGACCUUGGGCAAAUCGUAAACCCCUCUAAGCACCAACCAUCUGAUAAAUGUGGAAAUAAGGAGACAAAGGAGACAAAUAAAGACACUUUGUCCUUAUAUAAUUGCUGGGCAAAAAAAAAAAAAAAAGUGAUUUUUAUACUUUGUAACCAUAUAUAGUCUAUAGCCUCUUCAGAGGAGGAAAUGCUGCAAUAAUAGACACAUGUGAAAAAACAUGUGUUCACCGAGUAAAUGAGUGAAUGAGUGAAUUAGCAUAACUCUUAUUUAACAACAGCAUUGUAUUUGGUGCCAAGAUUAUAGAGCCAGAUAUUUCCUGUUGUGUGUACAAGUUCUCUGAGCUUGAACAAAAAGAUUUUUCUUCAGAAAUCAAGCCAUAUUUUAUAAUCUCUUUAUUUUUGAGUGUAUAGAUAAAAACACACUCUUAAAGCAGGAACUACUGCUUUGACACAUUUAGGUAAUAGGAUUAGAGAGCUGGAAGGACCUUUGGUGACCAACUCUAGUGCUAUCUUUUUUAGAUGGGAAAACAGCCUGCAAAAAUGUUAAGUAGCUUCCUCAGGAUCAAGUACUAUUGGAGCCAGCAUUGGUGGUCAAUCCUGUAUAGAAAUGACUUCAGUUGUAUAUCUGUGACCUGCCUUACUUACCUUCCUCUACCAAAGCCACUCAGUAAAUAUUGAAGACCUAUUAAGUAUAAAGAAGUGCAAGACAGCUUGAUGGAUUAGAACACGUAUGUAACAAACCCACUCCCAGGGAACAUGUACAAUCUUGUAUGAAAGUUGAGACAGAUACACUGAUGACUACCACACAGAGAAACCUAUGAGGUCUUCUGUUUGAAAUAUCUCAGAAGAGAAAAAAGAAAAGCCUACGUGUGUUUAUGUGGAGACACAUUCCAAAGAAGGGACAUGUGGCUGGUUAUACUCAAGUGGGUCAACCAAAACCGCAUGGCGUACUACUCUCUGAAGCCUCUGCUACCCUGCUCCUCCGUGUUGACAUGUGGUCAGGCAAGCCAGGACUUACUCACAUCAGCUACAUCAGUUACUGGGGUAAGAAACUCUGGGCUUUUCAGAUACUGUCUUCCAGAAACACCAGCACCAGCCUUUGGGUUUAAGAUCACCUGGUGAGAUUGAUUAUCUUUAGGGAAUGGUGCAGAUGGGAUAGUUUCUAGACAAUUUGGGAACCUCAGAAAUGGGAGUACUUCAUAUUAGGAUGACAUAAAAUAACUCUUUUUGCCCCAGGGAUCUUGCAGUAAAGAUUAUCAUCACAGUUGGCCAUACCAUGAACUUUUCUAAGUUAUUUAAAUUUACCUUGAAAUGUUAUCAGUGUCUGCUGUCACAGAGAAUAAAUGUAUCUGGUAUUAACAUUUUACUCAUGCUUGCCUUGCCUUUACUAAAUCUUAUCUUGUAAUUGAACAACUGGACUAUUUUUAAUUCUGAAUACAAUAUACCUCAGAAUAAGGUUUUAAGGUUUAGGUAAGGUAAAGUUUAACUUUAGUUUGUAUCUGUGACACCUAACACAAUACUAAGGAAUUCAACUGAAUGAGAAAUUUAUUCUAGGCAUCCACCAUGUUCAAAACAUACUAAGUACCUAGGAAUUACUUAUAGAAUAGAUGUAACUCUAUUGAACUAUAAAUCAAAUAUCAACAUACAAAGUUGAGUGAGCAGACUUGUUUGCCUCUUUUCAUUUUUUGUUACACUGAUGGAUACCACAUGUCUUAGGUGAUUGGGGGUGCGGUGGCUAGUAAUUACUGCCAUUAUUGUCUGUGAUACAGCAGUGUUCAGAUAGCAGCUAUUCUGCUUAUAAUCAGAUGAACAAGAUAUUAUGUUUGGCUUUGUUUAUGGAAAAAAAGACAUUUUAUUAAAUUGUGGUUAGAGGCCUGUUAGCAUAAAGGAUGAAUGGUUUCUUGGAAUUACAACUUGAAUAUUUUGAGAGAAACAAAUGAAAAGUAUCUCACUGUAGGGCUGAAUUGGUUUGUGACCUUGCUUCUCUAGCUGAAAUCUAUUGACUGUCUCAGAAGUGUUGCUAGGAGAAGAAAUAAUCCUAUAAAAGGACAUUAAGCAAUGCUAAGAAAAAGAUGAUGAUAAUAAUAGUGCUUUCAGCUCACCAUGUGCCAAACAUCAUAUUAAACACUUUAAGUGCAUUAUUACAUUGAAUUCUCACAACCCUAUACCAUAUCCUCAUUUCACAGAUGGAGAAAAUUGAAGCCUAGAAAGAUCAAGAAACUUUCUCCAGGCCAUAAAUAGAGGAAUCAGGAUUCAAAUCAGAUAGACGCCAGGGCUUGUUCUCUUCAACACCACAUUACCCCACAUUAUUAUUCAAUUAUUAAAUAAAACCUUGCAUUAGUGGCAUUUCCAAAUGCAUAACAAAAAAAAAAUUAAAAAAAAGUAACACUGGUCA